AUGUUGAUGCUGGCUGAGCAGCAGCAGAAGCAGAAGUGGGCUGUGAAUACUCAAAACACUGCCUGGAGUAAUGCUGAUUCUAAAUUUGGCCAGAGGAUACUAGAGAAGAUGGAAUGGUCUAAAGGAAGGGGUUUAGGGGUUCAGGAGCAAGGAGGCCCAGAUGAUAUUAAAGUUCAAGUUAAAAAUAACGACCUGGGACUUCAAGCUACAAUCAAUAAUGAAGCCAACUGGAUUGCCCAUCAAGAUGAUUUUAACUGGCUUCUGGCGGAACUGAACACUUGUCAGAGGCAGGAAACAGCAGACUCCUUAGACAACAAGAAAAAGAAAUAUUUUAGUCUUGAAGAAAUUCCAAAAUCUUCAAAAACUGUGUUCAUCAUAGGAAAUUUACAAAAGAAAAGGAUCUAUCAUCUCGGAGCAAAACAGAUCGUGACUGCAUUUUUGGGAAAAAACAGAGUAAGAAGACUCCCGAGGGUAAUUCCAGUCCCUCCACUCCAGACAGAACAAAACCACGAUGACAACCCAUGCCUUCACCAUCCAGGAGCGUUUUGCCAAGCGAAUGGCAGCACUGAAGAACAAGCCCCAGGUUGCAGCUCCAGGGCCUGACAUUUCCAAGACCCAAGUGGAAUGCAAAAGGGGGAAGAAAAGAAACAAAGAGGCAACAGGUAAAAAUGGGGAGAGUUACCCCCCAACACAGCCUAAGGCCAAGCGGCCUAAAGAGGGAAAGCCUAAGAGAGACAAGGUCCAGAAGUCGGCAUCCAAGGAGAAAAGAGCACGGACAGACGGACAGUGCAGAGGCCUCUGCUGGGAAGAGAGUUCUGAGGCCUCUGCUCAGGGUGCAGGGAAUUGUGUGCAGCCACCUGAUGGCCAGGAUUUCACCCUGAAGCCCAAAAAGACAAGAGGAAAAAAAAAAGCUGCAAAGCCAGUAGAGGUAGCAAUGGACACUACGCUGAAAGAAACACCAAUGAAAAAUAAGAAAAAGAAGAAAGGUUCCAAAUGA
rnacentral:lncRNA from 1 species